rnacentral:lncRNA from 1 species
AUGGUGCUACAAUCGACGUUAGCUGACUAGCCGAUUGAUGUUGUAUAUUUGCAUACUUUUGAUAUGGUUCACACAUUCGGAUGAGUUCAGCUACGUCUUUUUUCAUAUUUGGCUAAUAAUAUCCUUGUCGCAGAAUUUUAUAAGCUAGAGACUUGCCCCCCAAGUGAUUUCACAAAUCCCUUCGUGCACUUCUCUAAGUGCAUGUCGGCAUCUGUAGGUCCUAAAUACUUCAAUA